CUGAGAAAGUGGUGACACCGCCGGGGUGCGGAGGGAGUCCCUGAAACUUCUCCCAACAGCCCCAGGGCCAAUCUCCCCUCAGCCCACUCCCCUCUUCGCCAGCUCCCAGGUCCCCACUCCCUGCACCGGGGGUGGGGUGGGGAGCCAGGCCCGUCUCCCGCUGGGACACACACAGGGGCCGGGAGCGGGGACGGGACCCCCGAGGCGGGGGGGACGCACCGACAGACUGACGGCCGGGCGCCCGCCCCAGCGGGCAGGCAGGCAGGAGGAGGCGGAGGCGGGGGUACGACGGGGAGGACUGGGUCUGGGGAGUUUCCUCUCAACUAUCGGGGGAGAAACUCCCCGCAGCCGGAGGAAAGACCAGACGGUGUUUUCCUCCCGGGGGCCGCGCUCCCCCGCCCCGCGUAGCGGCGGUCGCCGCCGCCACCGGCGCCUCCACCUCUACCAUCUCUUUCUCCACCACCUCGGGCCCCGGUGUCCCCGGCCAGCACUAUGCCCAUCUUACUGUUCCUGAUAGACACGUCUGCCUCUAUGAACCAGCGCAGCCAUCUGGGCACCACCUACCUGGACACGGCCAAAGGCGCGGUAGAGACCUUCAUGAAGCUCCGUGCGCGCGACCCUGCCAGCAGAGGAGACAGGUAUAUGCUGGUCACUUUCGAAGAGCCGCCCUAUGCUAUCAAGGCUGGAUGGAAAGAAAACCAUGCAACGUUUAUGAAUGAACUGAAAAACCUUCAGGCAGAAGGACUUACGACUCUUGGCCAAUCCCUAAGGACAGCUUUUGAUUUAUUAAAUUUAAAUAGAUUAGUAACUGGCAUAGACAACUAUGGGCAGGGAAGAAACCCGUUUUUCUUGGAGCCAGCAAUAAUUAUUACAAUUACUGAUGGGAGCAAGUUGACUACCACCAGUGGGGUCCAGGAUGAGCUCCAUUUACCUCUUAAUUCUCCUUUGCCUGGAAGUGAAUUGACCAAGGAACCUUUUCGUUGGGAUCAGAGACUCUUUGCAUUAGUGUUGCGGUUGCCUGGCACCAUGUCAGUAGAAUCAGAACAGUUGACAGGUGUACCUUUAGAUGACUCUGCAAUCACACCAAUGUGUGAAGUGACAGGCGGCCGCUCUUACUCUGUAUGUUCUCCAAGAAUGCUUAAUCAGUGUCUGGAGUCAUUGGUGCAGAAAGUGCAAAGUGGGGUGGUAAUAAACUUUGAAAAAGCAGGACCAGAUCCUUCCCCUGUAGAAGAUGGGCAGCCAGAUAUAUCAAGGCCUUUUGGAUCUCAACCUUGGCAUAGCUGUCAUAAACUCAUAUAUGUCAGACCAAAUCCUAAAACUGGGGUUCCUAUAGGUCAUUGGCCUGUUCCAGAAUCUUUUUGGCCAGAUCAGAAUUCUCCAACACUACCACCUCGAACAUCUCAUCCUAUAGUAAAGUUUUCCUGUACAGACUGUGAACCAAUGGUUAUUGACAAAUUGCCUUUUGACAAAUAUGAGUUGGAACCUUCCCCAUUGACUCAGUUUAUUCUGGAAAGGAAAUCUCCUCAAACAUGUUGGCAGGUAUAUGUGAGCAAUAGUGCAAAAUACAGCGAACUUGGUCAUCCCUUUGGUUACUUGAAAGCCAGUACAGCAUUGAACUGUGUCAACUUAUUUGUGAUGCCUUAUAAUUACCCAGUUCUCCUUCCCCUUUUAGAUGACUUAUUUAAAGUACAUAAAGCAAAACCAACAUUGAAGUGGAGACAGUCGUUUGAAAGUUAUUUGAAGACAAUGCCUCCCUACUAUCUUGGGCCUUUGAAGAAAGCUGUUAGAAUGAUGGGAGCACCCAACUUAAUAGCAGACAGUAUGGAAUAUGGACUUAGUUACAGUGUCAUUUCAUACCUCAAAAAACUGAGUCAACAGGCCAAAAUAGAAUCUGAUCGAGUCAUUGGAUCCGUUGGCAAAAAAGUAGUGCAGGAAACUGGAAUUAAAGUCCGAAGCCGAUCACAUGGUUUAUCAAUGGCAUAUAGGAAAAAUUUUCAACAACUGCUUCAGGGGAUUUCAGAGGAUGUUCCUCACAGACUGCUAGAUCUUAAUAUGAAAGAAUACACUGGUUUCCAAGUGGCAUUGCUGAAUAAGGACUUGAAGCCACAGACAUUUAGGAAUGCAUAUGACAUACCAAGACGGAAUCUCUUGGAUCACUUAACAAGAAUGAGAUCUAAUCUUUUAAAAAGCACCCGCAGAUUUCUUAAGGGACAGGAUGAAGAUCAAGUGCACAGUGUUCCUAUAGCACAAAUGGGGAAUUAUCAGGAAUACCUCAAGCAAGUACCUUCUCCACUGAGAGAACUUGAUCCUGAUCAGCCUCGAAGGUUGCAUACAUUUGGUAACCCCUUUAAACUGGAUAAAAAGGGUAUGAUGAUAGAUGAAGCAGAUGAAUUUGUGGCUGGACCUCAGAAUAAACAUAAACGACCUGGAGAACCAAAUAUGCAAGGGAUCCCUAAAAGACGCCGCUGUAUGUCUCCACUACUAAGGGGGAGGCAACAGAAUCCAGUUGUGAACAAUCAUAUUGGAGGAAAAGGACCACCUGUACCUAUGACUCAAGCACAGCCAGAUCUUAUUAAGCCCCUUCCUCUUCAUAAAACUUCAGAAGCCACUAAUGAUUCAACAAUAGAUGAUGUGGUUGAAAAUCAUGUUGCAGACCAACUUUCAUCAGAUAUUACACCAAAUGCUAUGGAUACUGAAUUUUCAACAUCAUCUGCUGCCAGUUUACUGGAACGACCAACCAAUCAUACAGAGGCUCUUGGUCAUGACCACCUAGGAACUAAUGACCUCACUGUCAGUGGAUUUUUAGAAAAUCAUGAGGAGUCAAGAGAUAAAGAACAAUGUCCUGAAGAGAAUAUACCAGCAUCUUCCCUCAACAAAGGAAAGAAAUUGAUGCAUUGCAGAAGUCAUGAAGAGAUCAACACUGAAUUAAAAGCACAAAUAAUGAAAGAGAUCCGAAAGCCAGGAAGAAAAUAUGAAAGGAUCUUCACCUUAUUGAAGCAUGUGCAAGGCAGUUUACAAACAAGACUAAUAUUUUUACAAAAUGUCAUUAAAGAAGCAUCAAGGUUUAAAAAACGAAUGCUAAUAGAACAACUGGAGAACUUCUUGGAUGAAAUUCAUCGAAGAGCCAAUCAGAUCAACCAUAUUAAUAGCAAUUAAAAGAGAACAGAAUGUGGCCACUUAUUUCACUAUCUUCUCCAAAUACAAAGAUUGUGGAUGGCACUAAGUUGAAGCUGUUAUUUAGGGAGUGGUAAGUUUGGGUACACCACAUACUCUUUAAUGUCUCUCCUUUAGCAGCUUGAUGCCAUGCUUACAUAAGGCCCACAACAUUUUGGGGGUUCAAAGGGAAUUUCUUGAUUCAUCUCUCAUAUGUAAACUCUCCUUUUAUGUAGAAACUAAAUGGAAAGGAAAUGCAUUUAAGAUAACUUUGUUCAUUUUGCUUUCCCCCUGAGUUACCCAGAAAAAGGAAAAAAACUGGCAUUAUUCAUUUCCCACCCUUAGUCAAAAUGGCCUCAGGUGUCCUAACUGAGGACCUAAUUUACCAUUCAUAGAUCACUGCUGUGCCUUGUAGUACUGGGGGGUGACCAGUAGAAAAGGUUAGGUUAUUUAGAUUAAAAGAGGCAAAUUGAUUGAUAGAAACAUAAUAAAAUUGAAGUUUGUUUAGGUUCAUAAUAUUUGAAAGUCACAUACCCUUUUUACAAGUUGGCAUUUUAAUUUUAAGGGUAUAGCAAAAUGUAAUUUUUUGUGAAGAGAAGCCUAUAUGGAGGUUGAGGACAUACUCAAGAUCUGUUAAUUUAGUCAGGGGGCGGUGUGUGGGGGGGUUAAUACCCUUAAGAUGCUGAACAGAAAAAUCCUGUCAAGAAAAGGAAGCAUUUAAUGUGAUGUUAUAUUUUCAUAUGCAAUCCUUUAAACCUUUUUUACCUCUACAAAAUACCUUUAAGUAAAGCAGGAUGUCAUUUAAUAAGUGGAAUUGUUCAGGUAAAUUACCUAAGGUCACACUGCUAAAUUCAGUAAGAGCUAUCCAAAAUCCAGAAUAUAUUGUCUGGUCUUAAAUGAUGCAUUUAGAUUUUGAGAUGAAUAUUCAAGAAAGGGAUUCAGUCUUUCCCAUAUUUAACAGUUUUUCUUAUCAAAAUGUUCUUAUUUCCAUUUUACAUUUGCUCAUGAAACAAUGCUUUUUUAUAACCUUAACCUUAAUACUCUUUUUUUUUUUUGCGAUGAACCAUAGAGGAAUUUGGGAAGAAGUAAUUCAUUCAGUCUUCUCUUUUUGUCCUUAAUUUAUCUUCUUCCAUACUCUCUACACUAUCAUCCCAACACCUACUCACCAAGUUUGAAACCCAUUGAAACAAGUUUAAUAGCCGGUCUCUUGCAGGCUUUUUACAUUUAGAAAAAAUGGGCAUAUUGAUGAAACAUUGUAGCAUUUUUAUAAGCAAAGGAGAAGGGGAGGAUCUUAAAGGGAUCAUCAUGUUUUUUAGGCAUUUUAGAUCAAUGAAUGAAUUUAGGCUCACCAAGUGUCAUUGUCCAACUAUUUAAUCUUGAGAUAAGAUUGGUUUUUUUUUUUUUUUUAGUGUUCCUAUAUAUGUCCCAUUUGUUAAUUGAUUAGAUCAUUAUUUUACCCUUAUCACUAAGAUUUGUCAUUUUGGUGUACUGAAGGUUGAAGCUGGUUUCUAACUCUUCAAUACCCCUGUCACCAGAAGAGUAACCACUUUGCCUUGUGCAAUAUGGGCAAGUACCUCCUGGAAAAUGAGAUGAGAAAACUGGGACUUAAGUUUACGAAAAUUGCCCAAGAGGACAUGAUGAAUACGUGUCGGACCUCUACCAAGACCAAGGCUGACAGAAAGCAGAGUGCAUGUGCUCAAUGUCCACUCUCUGCUACUUCCCAUCAUUUGUGGCGUCUCACAUACAUGCCUGGACUUAUUUUUAACCCCUUGAGGAGCACUGCCGAGGCCUCUGGCUAUGAGCUGCUGAGAACUGGUCAGUGAAGGAGGCCAGAGCACCUGGAGGGAAGGAACGUGAAGUGGAUACACGCUGAAAAUGAGCCCUUGGACUGCGUUCACCCAUGCAUGUCAUCUACAGAUUUCUUAUAGAUUUACUACUCUGAUAUCAGAUAUACUAGAAGAGCUAAUCAUCUGAAGAAGCUGCAUGAAAAAUCCUGUUGUAAAGUAAUAUUUUGCCAAUAAGAUUUGCCUUUGCAAAACAAAAUCUAGCACCAUUGUAUAAUGCCUUGACAAUUUGUGUUUGUGCAUAUUAGCUUUUCUUAAAAAGGGCUCAUCUCUGUUACAAAAGAAUGAGAAACUUCAGAACAGAGACUUAAAGUCUUCAAUUUUUAUGCCUUAAUUUGCCUUUUGAUGAAAAUUGUAUCUAUA